UACGUAGGGUGCAAGCGUUAAUCGGAAUUACUGGGCGUAAAGCGUGCGCAGGCGGUGAUGUAAGACAGGUGUGAAAUCCCCGGGCUUAACCUGGGAACUGCAUUUGUGACUGCAUCGCUGGAGUGCGGCAGAGGGGGAUGGAAUUCCGCGUAUAGCAGUGAAAUGCGUAGAUAUGCGGAGGAACACCGAUGGCGAAGGCAAUCCCCUGGGCCUGCACUGACGCUCAUGCACGAAAGCGUGGGGAGCGAACAGG
rnacentral:rRNA from 1 species